CUGGCAGCGCCGGUGGAGGCCGGGAUGAUGUUCUGAUGGGCGCCUCGUCCAUCCCGCCAGGCCUUCUUGGACGGCCCGUCCACCGUCUUCUGGGUGGCCGUGUAGGAAUGGAUGGUGGUCUCGGGGAAGCAGAGGGCUAAGGUUCUGACUGUCUUUAAAGGAAGAAUCAGUAUUGCCUGGUGUGGCGGCGGCACUGGCUGGAGGUUGCAGGGUGGGGUGCAGGGCGCCUGGGGGCCCGAGAGGAGCUGGCGAGGGGAGCUGUGGACGUGUUGAGUUGAUUUGCCUGGGAGGAAGCACGCGAGUGCGUCACACAGUACUCCUGAGGUGGCCCAGCAUCACAGUUCACGUCCUGGCACUUGGGCCCCCGCCACCCACGUGGGAGACCCAGGUGGAGCUCCAGGCUCCUGACUUGGGCCUGGCCCAGCCCUGGCUGUUGUGACCUUUUGGGAGUGAACCGGCGGAUGGAAGACAUCUCUGUAACUCAGCCUUUCAAAUAAAUAAAUGAUUUUUUUUUUAAAAGUA